rnacentral:rRNA from 1 species
UACGUAGGGACCAAGCGUUGUUCGGAUUUACUGGGCGUAAAGGGCGCGUAGGUGGCGCGGUAAGUCGGGUGUGAAAUCUCGGAGCUUAACUCCGAAAUUGCAUUCGAUACUGCCGUGCUCGAGGACGGGAGAGGAGACUGGAAUUCAUGGUGUAGCAGUGAAAUGCGUAGAGAUCAGGAGGAACACCGGUGGCGAAGGCGGCCCUCUGGACGGUGACUGACGCUGAGACGCGAAAGCGUGGGGAGCAAACAGG